GACUGCUCAUGUGGCCUAGUGGUUAGAGCAUUCGCCUCAAAUGUGUGAGGUCAUGGGUUCAAUCCCUGGCUGAGUCA